AAGCUCGCCUUACAGCAAUUACUCUGAUUUUUCUCCAAAAAAAAAACCUUCGCGAGUUG
rnacentral:sRNA from 13 species